CACGUAGGUGGCAGUGUAAGUCACAGGUGAAAUCCCUCGGCUCAACCGAGGAACUGCCUGCGAAACUGCAUUGCUUGAGUCCGGGAGGGGGGAGCGGAAUUCCCAGUGUAGCGGUGAAAUGCGUAGAUACUGGGAGGAACACCGGUGGCGAAGGCGGCUCCCUGGACCGGUACUGACACUGAGGUGCGAAAGCGUGGGUAGCAAACA
rnacentral:rRNA from 1 species